GAUGAACGCUGGCGGCGUGCCUAAUACAUGCAAGUCGAACGCAUUGAGAGAAGUGCUUGCACUUUUCAAUUUGAGUGGCGAACGGGUGAGUAACACGUGGGCAACCUACCUGAUAGCGGGGGAUAACGAGUGGAAACAUUCGCUAAUACCGCAUAACAAUAGAGAAGGCAUCUUCUUUAUUUAAAAGGCGCUUUCAAGCGUCACUAUCAGAUGGGCCCGCGGUGCAUUAGUUAGUUGGUGGGGUGAAGGCCUACCAAGACGAUGAUGCAUAGGCGAGUUGAGAGACUGAUCGGCCACAUAGGGACUGAGACACGGCCCAAACUCCUACGGGAGGCUACAGUAGGGAAUCUUCCACAAUGGACGAAAGUCUGAUGGAGCAACGCCGCGUGUGUGAUGAAGGCUUUCGGGUCGUAAAGCACUGUUGUAUGGGAAGAAAUGCUAGGCUAGGAAAUGAGCUUAGUUUGACGGUACCAUACCAGAAAGGGACGGCUAAAUACGUGCCAGCCGCCGCGGUAA
rnacentral:rRNA from 1 species